CGGCGGACGGGUGAGUAACGCGUGGGUAACCUGCCCUGUACACACGGAUAACAUACCGAAAGGUAUGCUAAUACGAGAUAAAAUAUUUUUAUCGCAUGGUAGAAGUAUCAAAGCUUUUGCGGUACAGGAUGGACCCGCGUCUGAUUAGCUAGUUGGUAAGGUAACGGCUUACCAAGGCGACGAUCAGUAGCCGACCUGAGAGGGUGAUCGGCCACAUUGGAACUGAGACACGGUCCAAACUCCUACGGGAGGCAGCAGUGGGGGAUAUUGCACAAUGGGCGAAAGCCUGAUGCAGCAACGCCGCGUGAGCGAUGAAGGCCUUCGGGUCGUAAAGCUCUGUCCUCAAGGAAGAUAAUGACGGUACUCGAGGAGGAAGCCCCGGCUAACUACGUGCCAGCAGCCGCGGUAAUACGUAGGGGGCUAGCGUUAUCCGGAAUUACUGGGCGUAAAGGGUGCGUAGGUGGUUUCUUAAGUCAGAGGUGAAAGGCUACGGCUCAACCGUAGUAAGCCUUUGAAACUGGGGAACUUGAGUGCAGGAGAGGAGAGUGGAAUUCCUAGUGUAGCGGUGAAAUGCGUAGAUAUUAGGAGGAACACCAGUUGCGAAGGCGGCUCUCUGGACUGUAACUGACAUCU
rnacentral:rRNA from 1 species